rnacentral:rRNA from 1 species
UACUUGUUCUUUUUAAAAUUUUGUAGGUAGGCUAUCUUUUGUUGCAGCGAGUAAAAUUUUUGGUGAAAUAAGAAUUAGUUAUGUGUCACUAUAAAAAGGUCAGGCUUUUUGGAACCGGGAUUAGAGACCCCGUUACUUGCUAUAAUGUCUAAGGAUUAGAGAUAGAAAUCAUAUGGUUUGGCGGCCGAACUGAUUUAGAGGAGUUUGCUUGUAAUCGAUGAGUCUCGUUAGCUCUUGCCUGUCUGAUUUAUGUACACCAUCAUUUAGUUAAUUUUAUAAGAAAAAUUAAGAGAAUUAGUCGAGUAAGUUAGAUCAAGGUGCAGAGUGAAUAGGAUUAAGUUAACUACAAUAUAAAAUUAUAUACGGGCGCGGGCAUGUGCCCGUUAAUAAGUGGAUUUAAGAGUAAUUACUUAUGUUUGAUAUAAUAGGGUUGGUGUACAAAUUGCCCGUCAAUCUCUAAGAG